rnacentral:rRNA from 1 species
GUCAUGCCUAAAGAUGAGUUGGCGGCUGAUUAGGUUGUUGGUAGGGUAAUGGCCUACCAAGCCGACGAUCAGUAAGGGCCUUGAGAGAGGGAGCCCUGAGAAGGACACUGAAGUACUGGUCCUAGCCCUACGGGGUGCAGCAGGCGCGAAACCUUUACAAUGCACGAAAGUGUGAUAAGGGGACUCCAAGUGCUUUGCUUUUAGUAAGGCUUUUGCUAAGAUUAAAACCCUUGGCGAAUAAGUGGUGGGUAAGACUGGUGCCAGCCGCCGCGGUAACACCAGCGCCACAAGUGGUGAUCAUUUUUAUUGGGCCUAAAGCGUCCGUAGCCUGUUUGAUAAAUCUUUUGUGAAAUUGUUAAGCUUAACUUAACAACGUGCAGAAGACACUGUUGAACUUGGAACCGGGAGGGGUUAGGAGUAUUCUUGGGGUAGCGGUAAAAUGUUAUAAUCCCAAGAGGACUACCUGUGGUGAAGACGCCUAACCAGAACGGAUUCGACGGUGAGGGACGAAAGCUAGGGGAGCAAAACGGAUUAGAUACCCGAGUAGUCCUAGCUGUAAACGCUGCGAGCAAGAUGUUGCGUGUUCUUCGUGAAUACGCAGUGCCGAAACGAAGGUGUUAAGCUCGCCGCCUGGGAAGUAUGGUCGCAAGGCUGAAACUUAAAGGAAUUGGCGGGGGAGCACCACAAGGGGUGCGGCGUGCGGUUUAAUCUAACUCAACGCAGAGAAUCUCACCAAGGGCGACGGCAGGAUGAUGGUCAGUUUCAAGAGCUUACUAGACGAGCCGAGAGGUAUUGCAUGGCCGCCGUCAGCUCGUGCCGUAAGGUGUCCUGUUAAGUCAGGCAACGAGCGAGACCUGUACUUACAAUUGCUAACAAGCCUUUAGGUGAUUGAGCACAUUGUGAGAACUGCCUGGGAAACCAGGAGGAAGGUGCAGGCUACGGUAGGUCUGUAUGGUCCGAAUCCUUUGGGCUACACGCGCGCAACAAUGGUAUGGACAAAGGGAUACAACUCCGAAAGGAGAAGUUAAUCCUCUAAACCAUAUCCAAGUCCGGAUUGAGGGUUGUAACUCACCCUCAUGACGCUGGAAUCCCUAGUAAUCGGAUUUUAUCAUAGUCCGGUGAAUAUGUCCCUGCUCCUUGCACACACCGCCCGUCAAACCAACCGAGCAGGGUUUAGGUGAGCCUUGACUUUUUGGUCAAGCCGAACCUUAGCUCAGUGAGGUGGGUUAAGUCGUCACAAGGUA